rnacentral:sRNA from 1 species
GCCAGGUAUGGUGGCGCAUGCCUGUGAUCCCAGCAACUCGGGAGGCUGAGGCAAGAGGAUUGUGGGUUCAAAGCCAGCCUCUGCAAAAAGGGAGGCACUAAGCAACUCAGUGAGACCCUGUCUCUA